rnacentral:rRNA from 1 species
CUCCACAGCCACACCACUCUGGAUGCGCCUAAACCCGUCUGACUGCAAAAGCUAAGCAGAGUGGGGCCUGGGUAGUACUUGGAUGGGAGACCUCCGGGGAAUACUAGGUGCUAUAAGCU